rnacentral:rRNA from 1 species
AUGGCGUGUCGUCAGCUCGUGUCGUGAGAUGUUGGGUUAAGUCCCGCAACGAGCGCAACCCUCGCCUUAGUUGCCAUCAUUAAGUUGGGCACUCUAAGGGGACUGCCGGUGAUAAGCCGAGAGGAAGGUGGGGAUGACGUCAAGUCCUCAUGGCCCUUACGGGCUGGGCUACACACGUGCUACAAUGGUGGUGACAGUGGGCAGCGAGACCGCGAGGUCGAGCUAAUCUCCAAAAACCAUCUCAGUUCGGAUUGCACUCUGCAACUCGAGUGCAUGAAGUUGGAAUCGCUAGUAAUCGCGGAUCAGCAUGCCGCGGUGAAUACGUUCCCGGGCCUU